rnacentral:rRNA from 1 species
CCUACGGGAGGCUGCAGUCGAGAAUCUUCGGCAAUGGGCGCAAGCCUGACCGAGCGACGCCGCGUGCGGGAUGAAGGCCUUCGGGUUGUAAACCGCUGUCAGAGGGGCGGAAAUGUAUCGGGGUUCUCCCCGGUACUUGACUUAACCUCAGAGGAAGCACGGGCUAAGUUCGUGCCAGCAGCCGCGGUAAGACGAACCGUGCAAACGUUAUUCGGAAUCACUGGGCUUAAAGCGUGCGUAGGCGGCUGAGAAAGUUGGGUGUGAAAUCCCUCGGCUCAACCGAGGAAUUGCGCUCAAAACUACUUGGCUUGAGAGAGUUAGAGGUGAGCGGAACUAAUGGUGGAGCGGUGAAAUGCGUUGAUAUCAUUAGGAACACCGGUGGCGAAAGCGGCUCACUGGGGCUCUACUGACGCUGAGGCACGAAAGCUAGGGUAGCGAAC